rnacentral:lncRNA from 1 species
GUGGUUUGCCAUGUUCAGGGACUUGACUCUCAGAAUAAUGGCGCUUUUCCCUUUUUGUAGGAUUAGCUGCUUGGAUCUUCACAGGCAUCAUCAUGGUGAGUGGCUUUUUUGGUGUUUGUAUUUGGCAUGCUCAUAAACAAAUACAGUUAAGGUCAUUAUGAUAAACUUGCAUAUGUCUUACACCCAGUGUCUACUCCAGAACCUGAAAAGGUGAACCCACUGGAGUUGCCUGGGUUUGGCUGUUAUGGUGAAAUGAUUAGUGUCUGGUCCUGACCAUCUGUCUUAAAAUGGUUUGAAAUCCUUGGCAGAAGUCCUGGCCAGACACGGCUGAAAAAGGGACCAUACAUUCAGAUUGAUUGUUUUUUUUCUGUAUGCCGGAGAGUGAGCGGUCCAUGCCAGGUUUCAGAACAUGAUCAGGUUGCCUGCAUCCUCAGUGAUUUGGGUCCCCGCUAUCCCCAGGCUUUGGUACUCAAAAACCUGUCUGCUCCAAGACUCUUUGGCGUCAUCAUGUUCCAGCAUGGCUUUCUUGUACUACAGUUUUUAUUUGUGAAUAAAUGUGUGGCCCUAACAUUGUCUUGGAAUUGUAUCAGGAUGGGAUGGAUAUUGAGGGUUACAACUUCACCAUAAGCCAGUAGAGCAAAAACAGUAAGAGUAGCUAAGUGAUAUGGUUGGCUGUUCUGGAAAUUAUGGUAAAAAUGUAUUUUCAGAGUUCUUAUGCAUUAACCCUUCGCUGAGACUAAGUUGUCGUUUUGUUAGGGCAUAUAGCAACGGCUGAUGAGCCGUUUUGUCGGCAGACGGGUGGAAUGGGAAGACUAUAAGGAAUUGUAUUAAUUACUAAGUUUCUAUAUAUUAUAUAGUGUGCGUGGCAAGUCAUUUUGUAUGCGAGGGCCAUAAUCUGGCUUCGCUUUCCACUCCUACCCACAGACCCUUAACAUUCUAUGGAUUGGCUCCUACUUUUACAAUGGUUGGUGUUGCCAUAUUGAGAAAUGCAGACUUUCACCUUUCUCUUGAGUGGUGUGAACCGAGGUUGAUGUUUUGGAAUAGAGCUGGCUACACCUGCUCAGUAACUGAAUUUAAUUCAAAGGGGCGUGGUUCUGAAGGUACUGUUAGUUUUCUUUGCACCUCAGGGCAGAUAUAAACUAAUUACAACUUUUAAUAAGAAAUGGCCAACGAUCGGCCCAGAAAGCAGGGGCAGUGGCCCAUUGGUUUAUGUUCUGUAUACUCCAACACUGUCCCCAUCUGUCCCCUUGUCUUCUGUCAGAUGCCGUGGCCUGAUGAAUGAGUCACAAAAGCGCAAGGUGGGUACGGACAAUUUGCGGGCCAAAAAAACCGAAAGCGACCGUUGUCGUCAUGUGCAAAAAUAACCCACCCCCACCAUACGGUCAU